rnacentral:lncRNA from 1 species
CUAUUUGUCGCUCAGUUGUUCUUCACUCGUUGAUACAAUGCCUCACCAGUUACUAACACUCUUUCUAUUUCUGACUUGUUACACAGUAAAUCUAACUAGACUAUUAUGCUUGUUGUAGUAAAAUGAAGAAGGCUGUUUUGGUGUGUUCAAAGUAUAUGGAUGGUACAAGGCACAGUGAUAGUUAUACAGCAAGACUAUGGUGGAGACUUUUCAACCCAAGGGAUUUGAUCCUUGGAGGGUGUUGAUUCCUUCCAAGAAUAAAGCUCUGAUCGUUUCUUUAAUGACGAUCUCUUUCCUUUUUUUCUGGAGAUGCGAUUGAUGGAGAUGGCAGACUUCCACUCUUGUAGCUCAUUCAAAUCAGCCGUUAGGUAAUCUUCAGUAAUUUGCAUGAGAUAUGGAGAUGUAUCUGAUUUCCCAAGAUUCAUGGGAGACUUCCUGAUUUGACGAUGUGAUGCUGAUCUUCUCCUUGUGUGCCAAUGGCUUCUCUUAAUGAAUAUUUCCUUCUUUGUUUAAUGCUUCAAUCUUGCUU